UGGUGCCCGCGCACAUCGGGUAUGGUGCUGGAUCUCUCUCCCCAGCCCUUUCGAACGCGCAGCGCGACAUAAUACCCUCCCGCCUUUCUCGUUUCAGCCCUCUUCUCGCCCUCGCACCGAACGAGGGGAGCCGUUCUUGUUUUCUGUUUCCUUACGGUUGGCCUUGCUUCUCGGGCACGGAUCCUUGUCUUCUACAGCGCACCACCGUUCUUUCCUUUGCAGUCAUCAAGGGCGUCUUGAAUGCGCCCACUGUGCUUUCGCGCUGUCGGCUCUCUCCACCCCUCGCAGCGCGCUGCUUCCCACCAUGAUACGGCGUCGUCCACUCGCUGCGCGUGGCGCUGCCUGAGCACGGCAACAGAAAAUAGUCAAGAGAAUGCGGCGGCAGACUGCACUCCGCCUCCGCUCGAGCAGGCCUUCGCAUCACCACUACCGGGCCCGGUAGCCGCGCACUCGGUUUCGCUCUCCCCGAUCGGCUCUGCCAUUCUGUGCUCGCACCUCUCGCAGCGGCAGAUGCGGCAACGGCAGCGCAGAUGGGGUGCCCUAUGGCGAUAUCGAUGGGAGAGUCACUCGCCCCGCGCCAUGCCGACCCCGCUAUUGGUAACUUCGGCGUUGAUCUCCGGCUCGCCGCGCACCUCCAUAUGCGCGCCGCACGCUGACGUGCCCGAAGACACUGGUGCGAAGACAGCCCCAUGUGACGCAGAGAGAGGAAGCCUUGUGAACACGUCUUCUCCCUCGCACAGCAGAAGUCUUUCCAUGGCAUCGGCGGAGUGCGAAGCAAAGGAGGGUACGAGACCACGCGCCCACACAGGCUCCGCCGGUGCCGCCGCUGCCGCCGCUGCCGAUUCUGUUGCCCUCAGUAGCACGCGCAACGCUGCCGCUGGCGCGUCGACUGUAGAGGACCCUCUCCUCUCGUUUCUAGACUCGCACGAGGAAGAUGCGGCGUUGCUGCUCGCGAUGUGGACGUCGCUGCAUCGCAGCUGCGUUUUUGGCUCAACUCUGUCGGAGUCCUUGGUUCUUCAGGUGCGCUACUUUCUCCACUCCCUUCUUCGCCACCGCGCGAUAGGGGCGGCCGUAACUUUCUACUACCGGCUCAUGGGCAUCGGCGUGCAGCUGCGUCAAAGCGACCUCCUCCUGCUGUUUUCGAGCCUGACUUACGAGAACGCUGCGUCGACGGAAGAGGCCCAGCUGCGCAAGGCGGCAGAGACAGCAGCGAUGGAAAGUCACCGAAAGAUUUGGGCUCAACGACGCAGGCAGCUCCGCCUGUCCGCCGCGCGCACUCGCACAGCGGACGCCCCGGGCCAAAGCCAGCGCGAGGGAGGUGGGGAGGGAAGAGACAAGGUAUUGGCAGUUCAGACGGGCGUCCUGAGCGCGGGGGUGAAGAAGACUGGUGCGCCUGCGUUCUGUGAGGAGGGGCCGACGCGUGUGAAUGCUACCGCCACGGAGAGCGUCCAGGAAACGGCUUCACAUACACGCAUAGUUAGAGCUACCCACAUCGCGGAGGGCGGCAGCGUCGCCGUUUCCUCAGCGCCACGCUGGGCCCGCGGAGAAGUGGGCGACGAAGUGCACCCGCCGGGCUCCAUCGCACGCCGCACGGCUUUCCACCAGCAGCCGGAGUGGGUCAAGAGGUGGAUCCUCUACGAAGCCUCGAUGGGGACACUGGACGAUCUAGACGAAGUGGAGGACGCCAGCCGACCAAGCACACCGUCGACGAGCAGCUCCACGGACGCCUUGCUCAGCACCAGCGAUGCGCAAGCGGACACCGCGGCGCAGCCGGAGCAGGUGAUGCGGGGCAUGGAGGUGGCAGCGAUUGUGGAGCAUCUGCACCUUCUCACUCUCGGAGCCAUGCAGCGAGACCAUCUGAGCGCAACCGAAGCAAACAUACCGCCGCCGUCGCCGCGGCGACCGCAGCGAUGCACCUCGAAGCUGUCACGGUCGUGGUCGAUUGAGCGGGCCUACUGGAAAGAGGCGCUAGAUCUGGUUCGAAGCGCCUACUCCGCUGCACCACGGCACAGGGCUCUGAGCGAGUGCGGCGACACCUUGUUUCCUAGGGCGGCAGAAGACCUGCUUCUUCCCACCGAGGUCGUUCUCGCUCUGCAGUCAAUGCUUCGUGAAGUGCAGAGUUGGGAGGGCACACUUUCUCUUCUGCGGCUGAGCGUCCCGGAGGCGAAGCGUCGAGAUGCGGAGCCGCCCAGAGCGGUUGGUAUGUCAUCCGACUGCUUCCUGCGCGGGGCGGUCCUUUUCAUGGCUUUGGCCGCCCCUGCGCAGCCAUGGAAGACACAGGCGAAGGUUGAAGCAUGGAUGCAUCGCGUAAUGCUGCCUCGACUCGCGCGCGACGCGAGGGCGCAAACGGAAGCUACCUCUACUGCUACUGCCGCAACAGCAGCUCUUCAUGCGCUGUGGCUCAGCCACCUCUGCAGCGUAAAGGCGUCACGGCCGGACGAGUUUGUUGCACUCGGUGAAGAGGCGGCGGCUUACCUUACUUCUCCCUCCGUGCAACGGGCAAUUCACGGCGACCUCACGCUGAUGAUGGAGGAGAUAUGCGUGAGCACCGAACGAGCCGUUGACGCCCUGCAUCAAACGGCGCAGCGGGCCGUACAGCACCGUCGCGCCUCAGAGGUGCUCGCCAAAUCCAUUCGCACCGGUGCCUACAGGGUGGAGAACGGCAAAGGCAAGCACGAACUCGGCAGAGACCCUGAGAACGAUCACAUGACCGAUCCGUUGUCAAUGACUUCGGUGGCCGCGCCGCCAACUGUCAUGGAUGGAAUGAGGUGCUCCCUCUUGAGUGAUUAUGCCACGAAGUCACCGUUGUCUCCGUCGGCGUUGCUGUCAAGCGACUCGGUGGACGCGUUUGCCCUGUGCUGCGCAGCCGUCAAGGAGACGGUCUGGCUGCGGUUCACGACGGCGGCCUCGACAAGCCCUGCUGCUGUGGCGGUCGAGGUGCUGCAGUUUUUGGAGCAGAAUGUGCACGGUCCUUCAGGACUCCUCAACGUGUUCCAGCUGCUGUACGGCUCAUCUGCCUCGCGGAUGGCGCGCAACGGAAAAGGGUCGACACUAACGCCGACGGAAAACACACCAGCGGCACCGGAGUGUGCGUACGUGUCGUGCGUUCUGGCGAUUACUCUCUUGCAACUCGUGCAGCUUCUAUGCUCACCACCGGGCCAGCAGCAGCGCCGCUACGGCUGCCACAUGUGGAGCGGCGCCGAGCUGGUUCUUCUCGCCGAACACGCGGCGAAGGUGCUGGAGAGGAUUGCCGCGGCGCAAGUGCAGCAGGCGCCAUGGCGGUGGGCAGUCGAGGAGCGUCUGAAGGAGCUCGCCACUGUGACGGCGAGAACGGUGCGCCUUGUCGUGCGCCAGCUUGACAUUCAUCACAUGAAUGAGAAGGUCAUGUUUGGUGCCGUGGCUGACCAGGAUGUGGAACUCUUCGCCCUUCUUGCCCGGGUGCUCAACACGUCAUCAGAGUUGAUGGUGGCGUCGUGCGCUAGUGAUGCUUCGCGGGUCUCGUCAUAUUCGCCGGUGUGGCGGAUUUUGACGUCCACGUGCUCUCCCCGGAUCCUGCAAGGGGUACAUCUGUGCUUCCGCAGCUCUAGCGCGCUGGGAAAGCGAGUGCGAUAUCGACUUUGCCGCCGUGAUGCCGACAACCUGGAGCACUGGAUUCAGCCGCCGCGAUCGCGUCAGCGCACCUCCGCCUGCCUGCGUGGUGCUGGCGGUGCGGCGCUAUUGUCGUCGAAGCGGUCGGUGAAGGCGAUAGACGCGGGCGGUGCUGCCGCGGUGGGGCGCUACACAGGCAGGGACUUCCCUCUCAUGCUCAGCCUCCGCGACUCGGUCUACAAGAUCAUGAGCCGUGAGCGCACGAGCGCCGGUGUCGGGCGAGCGCUGCAGCGGCUGGCAGCUGCGACGGCGAACUGGAAAGCGAGCUUGCUUCUGUGCGAACUCGUUACAAAGGAUGUCUCUCUCGCCCGUGGCACGUGUACUGUGGACUUCUUUGCCACAGCUCUGGAUCGCAUGGCGCAGGAUGUGGCGAGGUCGAGCGCCGCCGCACAAGCAGAGGCGAGAACGCCGCGAUCGCAGGGAAAUGAUGUUGUGCCGUCUCGCAAGAGGUGCGGUACGCUGGCCGCCCCACGGGCGUCGGGGCCACCCAACUUGUGGCUGAGUGCGAUCGAUGUGUUCUGGAGCGCCGUCGAUCACGUUGGCCAGGCCGAAGCCGCUGCGGCGCAGGACUCUGACUCCUCAGCUCUCGCAAACUCCGCCAGAACGCCGGCGUCGAACCCGGUGAGCGUGGAGGCGCAGGAGCGUGCUGUACUGGCGCGGCUUCUGCUUCCGCUUCUCCGCUUUAGCCGCGCCGUGAAUCAGAGGGAGGUUGGCCGACAGUGGCGUCGCACAUGGGCCGCCAUGUACGCCACGCAGGAGAAGAAGAACCCGCAGUGGCGCCAGCAGAACAUCGAAGCACUAUCCGUGCUAGGUGACGCAGCGGCGCUGACCCACUGCGUUGCGGACUACCACAUCUGUGGCAGCGAGGCGUUGCUGUGCUCGGUGGCCGUUCGGCACGGUGACUGGCACGCCGCGCUGGUGACUGUCUUCCAGACAUACGGCGCUGUCGAGGAGCGUCACGCGACGGGGACGCCGUACUCACUCGUCGUAGCCCGCACUAUUCUGACGCUCCUGGCGAAGUCACCGAUGAAUCUCAGCAACACGGCUAUGCGAUUGCGAACUGUUCAGCGCGAGACCUGGGACGAGGAAUGCAGUCUCGCGGUGGUCCGGCUACUAUUACGUGGUCGCCGAUGGCGCCUGGCGAUAGCCCACGUUGACGAGGCGCUGGGGCUUCCAGACAUGCAGCGGGUCAGAGCGCUGGUGCUUGUGGACCCUGCCGGUUGUUUGCGGCAGGGGGCAUCCCCUUCCGCGCCCACCGCGGCAACGCUGGUGCGGUAUGCCCAGCUACUUACGGCAGUGUUGCGGGCGACGGCGAUCGGCGGCGAUAGUGAGCGCGCGCCAGCGUACUACGACGCGUUCAAGGCGCUGGUGCGUUACGUCUUUGGUGAGGUGGUGGACAUAGACACUCUUCAUACGGCGGAGGACACCUGGCAGAGGGGCGACGAUGCGCUGGACGCCGCGCUGGACAUGACUCAUUUCACGGAAAGGGAAGAAAAGCACGCGUCGGGUUCGGAGGACCAAGUGCACGAGGCAGUGCGAGAGCUGGCCCCACGCGCGCGCAUCCUGUUCUUCCGCGCUAUGACAAAGAAGAUGCUUGCUUCUCAUGCGGGCAAGGGGUGACAAGAGGCACCGCCCUUAGUGCUGGAGAGGGAGGAGGACAUCGACCCGACCGGCGUCGGCAACGUGCACCCUGCGAAACCUGCGCGUAUGGAUUGUUCGACUCAGGCCUCUUACAUGGUGCCCUUCAUGUUGACGCACCAUCCGCGAUGGACCUUGAUAACGAGGAGAAAAGGGGGACACCUCAGCUUGCGUGGCAUGUCAGGGCCCAGUAGCCCUACACUCUGUGAGGGGAACCCAGGCAGAGCCUCUCUCCCCCUCCUCCCUUAUCCCCUGCCAAAUGCCGAGCCACCUAUGGUGGUGACGGGGUCAAACAACCUACGACAUAGAGGACCUCAGAGCAAUGUGUUACUGCGCAUGCCGGCAUUCACAUCCUGGUCGUCGUUUCGUCGGAGCGACCCGCGGCCGUGAUCAUGUCUGUGCCAUCCAUUGGAUUCGGCGAAGGUUUAAGGCGACUUGGACGUUCCUUGCCCCCCGGCCCUCAGGGCCUACUGGUGUGGCACCGGAGCCCCUCCGGGGAGUCGCGGGAUGCACCACGUGGCGACCGACAUGAUGUGAGAGUGGCUGUGAGGGUGGGCGGGGGGGGGAGGGCGACCUGCGGCGAGCGGAUGUGGUGGGUAGACCGCGUGGCAGAGGCCGUUCUGAGACGACCCUGUCGGCCGUAUGGCUGCAACGCGGGUCGAGGGCCGCUUUUUGCGUCACGCGGUGUAUGUGGGUGUGUGGGGAGGGGGGGGCGAUGCUGCGGGGAGGGGUACAGCGGAGCUGGACUCGCGCUCUACGGCAGAGAAGGGGUAUACAGAAGGGAAAUGAGAAAGCUUCCUGGGUGGGUGAGUACGGUAGGUGAGCCCACGAAGCGCGUACGUGAUACCUUGCGUGUGUGUUUGUCGUGUACGUGCGUGGGCGUAAACGUGUAUAAUGGUGCCCAUCACAAAACCGACGGCUAAGAGAAAAGAGAGAAGGCGGCAAACAAGCAAACUUACACAGCCUCAAGUGCGCUCGGCUGGCAUGGCAAGCGUCAUCAGAAAAUAGACACGGCAUCCUUGUGCGCGUGGCACCGCCGUUCCAGAGGAGGGAAAACAGUCGCCGGGACGACACACACACACACACACACACACCUCCCACACCCACACAGAAAAGCGCAUGGGAAAGCACUUGCACACCCAGGCACCCGCCACUUCUCUUGGACGGGAGGCCUUGCCCUCCAGGACUUUCCGCGUACGCGGACGGAAAAAGGGAGGCAUGCGGUGUUGCGCGUUGGCCUGCUGCAUCUUCCUCUGUGAGAUGAGGUGCAUGUGGCGAAGAAGAGUAUCAGCUUUGUUGGUGUAAUGGCGCUCUCCUCUUCUCCUGCUUUUUCAUGUUGUGCUUGACGGCAACGUUAG
rnacentral:misc_RNA from 1 species